GUAAUGGUGAUCUCGAGCGAG
rnacentral:siRNA from 1 species